rnacentral:rRNA from 1 species
GAUGAACGCUGGCGGCGUGCCUAAUACAUGCCAGUCGAGCGAACGGACGAGAAGCUUGCUUUUCUGAUGUUAGCGGCGGACGGGUGAGUAACACGUGGAUAACCUACCUAUAAGACUGGGAUAACUUCGGGAAACCGGAGCUAAUACCGGAUAAUAUUUUGAACCGCAUGGUUCAAAAGUGAAAGACGGUCUUGCUGUCACUUAUAGAUGGAUCCGCGCUGCAUUAGCUAGUUGGUAAGGUAACGGCUUACCAAGGCAACGAUGCAUAGCCGACCUGAGAGGGUGAUCGGCCACACUGGAACUGAGACACGGUCCAGACUCCUACGGGAGGCAGCAGUAGGGAAUCUUCCGCAAUGGGCGAAAGCCUGACGGAGCAACGCCGCGUGAGUGAUGAAGGUCUUCGGAUCGUAAAACUCUGUUAUUAGGGAAGAACAUAUGUGUAAGUAACUGCGCACAUCUUGACGGUACCUAAUCAGAAAGCCACGGCUAACUACGUG